rnacentral:snRNA from 1 species
AUACUUACUUAGGCGGGGUCGAUCGAUGAUCAGAUCAGGAAGGUCGAUGGCCUAGGAAAGCCACCUCCAUUGCACUUGGGAGGGGGGUCUACCUAGCAUCUCCCACUGAGGAGAGUGCACGUCAUAAUUUGUGGCAGUUGAGGCUCGCGUUUGCGUAGCCUCCAC